rnacentral:tRNA from 1 species
AGGUUGCUAGCUCAACUGGUUAGAGCAAUCGCCUCUUAAGCGAUAGGUUCAGGGUUCAAGUCCCUGGCGACCUA